GCCAGGCUCAGUGGCUCAUGCCUCUAGUCCUAGCUACUCCAGAGGCUGAAGUGAGAGGAUCGCUUGAGCCCAGGAGUUGUGGGCUGUAGUGCACUAUGACAAUUGGGUGUCCGCACUAAGUUUGGCAUCAAUGUUGUGACCUCCCGGGAGUGGGGUCCACAGGUUGCCUAAGGAGGGGUGAACAGGCCCAGGUUGGAAACGAAGCAGGUCAAAACUCCUGUGCUGAUCAGUAGUGGGAUUGUGCCUGUGAAUAGCCACUGCACUCCAGCCUGGGCAACAUAGCAAGACCCCAUCUCU
rnacentral:SRP_RNA from 1 species